AACCCUGCCGGCCGCACCGCCUCCUUUCCGCUGGCCGCGCUUAUGGUCACCCGGCCUGGACCGGAGAGAGGAGGUGAGAGGAGCGCUGCGUUGGCCUCCAUCGACUGUCGGCCUUUUUCAGAACGCCUACUUCGGGUCAAGCUUGUGUUAGGGAAUACCAGAAAAGGGCACCGCCUUGAAUAGGACAGAUUCAUCCAUCCCUAAAAGGACAGUUUCACUCAUUUAUUCACCGAGUCAAUGUCUAUUGAGCGCCAGCCAACGAGGACGCAGCGGUGUAAAAGAUGUAGCAGGAGGCUGCGAAGGACGCAAGCAGUGAUAGUGCCGGGUUAGCAGAGCUGUCGUGGCAGAGGAGGAAGGGCCCUGACUGCAGUGGGGUGGGGGUGGUUGUGGAAGAGAGGCGGCCUGGGGAGGAGGCAAUAAUCUGGACCUCAGUUAGCCUUUAUCGCCCUAUUACAGGCUCUGUCUCUAAAUGCAGUCGCAUUGGGGGUUAGGGUAUCAACAUAGGAAUUUUGGGGGACACCAUUCAUGUCCAUGUCAGAGUUCAGUCCCUAACAGAGCCAUACUGACUAGAGUUUUAAUCUCAGCUCUAUCAUUUACCAGCCGUGUGACCCUGGGCAGAUGAACUUACCUCUCUAAGCCUCAAUAUCCUCACGUAUAAGAUGGGGACAGUUAAGGUGACUAUACAAUUUUUUUUAUCUAAACCUUUUGCUAGAGAAAGGAGAUGCUAUUAAUAAUUUUGCCAGGACAACAGGCAAACACCAUGACUGUUUCAGGCAAACAAGGACACAUGGUUCCCUCCAGGAAACCUACUUUGUGGUAUUGUUGGAAUACAUGUAAUGUAUGCAGACUUCUAAGCACAUUGCUUGGCACAUGGUAGGCACCAAAAUAUAUAAGUAUUCUCUAAUUGCUAGGCCCUCGGUUGGCCUCCCUGGCACUGGGUCUUCCCCUGCUCACAAAAUACCCCUUAACCAUUCAUCCCCUACCCAACCUGCCAGGAAUUCCCUAAAGAUGGAAGGGAUGGGGGCGAGGAGGAGAGGGAAGGAGGGUGCUGGCACAUUAGGUCCUGUAGAGGCAAGGCUUAGCAUCUUGGUAGUCCUGGGUGCAACUUUACACUGGGGCUAGGGAUAGCCAGAUUGCCAUGAGGGAAGGUGGAGGGUGGCCAUGAGGGAACGAAAUCCUUCCCAAAGGCAACAGUGCACAGGGCGAGCCACCCACGGCAUGUUUUAGAGAAUUAGGGGUAGGAGUUUGGGGGUAUGGCUAAACCUAGAGACAGCAAUUUAAAGAGAAGACAGCUUUAUGAAGAUCUGUUAAAGAUCGCAAAUAAAGGCCUAUUAAAGAGAAGAAAAUAUGCCAGACUGUAGUUCCUGCAUAAAUAUAUACAUACAUUCCGUGUAUUUACAUAAAAAUAAGCCUGAAAUCAACUACAGCCAAUGUUACUAGAAGUUAUCUUGGAUAAGUGUAGGAUUUGCAGGUGGAAUCCCAAUGUGCCUACUGUUUAAUUUUCAAAUAACACAAAGUAGCAUACAGUGAAAAGUAGGUCUCCCUCCUAUCCUGACCUCUCCUUCUUAAACAAAAGGCAUACUAUAUGCAGUUUUGCACCCUGCUUUUCUCACUUUAUAAAAUAUCUUAGAGGUUAUUCCUGGGCCAGGUGCAGUGGCUCAUACUUCUAAUCCCAUUGCUUUAAGAGGCCCAGGUGGGAGGAUCACUUAACCCCAGGAGUUUAAGACCAGACUAGCAACAUGGUGAAACCCCAGCUCUACAAAAAACACAAAAAUUAGCCAGGUGUGGUGGCAUAUGCCUGUGGUCCCAGCUACUCAGGAGACUGAGGUGGGAGCAUCACUUGAGCUUAGGAGGUCAAGGCUGCACUGAGCUAUAAUUACACCACUGCACUCCAGCCUGGGUGACAGAAUGUGACCCUGUAUUUUAAAAAAA
rnacentral:lncRNA from 1 species